UACGUAGGGGGCGAGCGUUGUCCGGAUUUAUUGGGCGUAAAGAGCGUGUAGGCGGCCAGGUAGGUCUGCUGUGAAAACUCGAGGCUCAACCUCGAGACGUCGGCGGAAACCAUCUGGCUAGAGUCCGGAAGAGGAGAGUGGAAUUCCUGGUGUAGCGGUGAAAUGCGCAGAUAUCAGGAAGAACACCCGUGGCGAAGUCGGCUCUCUGGGACGGUACUGACGCUGAGACGCGAAAGCGUGGGGAGCGAACAGG
rnacentral:rRNA from 1 species